rnacentral:rRNA from 1 species
AGACCCGAAACCCGGUGAUCUAGCCAUGGGCAGGUUGAAGGUUGGGUAACACUAACUGGAGGACCGAACCGACUAAUGUUGAAAAAUUAGCGGAUGACCUGUGGCUGGGGGUGAAAGGCCAAUCAAACCGGGAGAUAGCUGGUUCUCCCCGAAAGCUAUUUAGGUAGCGCCUCGUGAAUUCAUCUCCGGGGGUAGAGCACUGUUUCGGCUAGGGGGCCAUCCCGGCUUACCAACCCGAUGCAAACUGCGAAUACCGGAGAAUGUUAUCACGGGAGACACACGGCGGGUGCUAACGUCCGUCGUGAAGAGGGAAACAACCCAGACCGCCAGCUAAGGUCCCAAAGUCAUGGUUAAGUGGGAAACGAUGUGGGAAGGCCCAGACAGCCAGGAUGUUGGCUUAGAAGCAGCCAUCAUUUAAAGAAAGCGUAAUAGCUCACUGGUCGAGUCGGCCUGCGCGGAAGAUGUAACGGGGCUAAACCAUGCACCGAAGCUGCGGCAGCGAACGUAUCACUUAAAGCGAUUCAGCGGGUUACGAUUGACGGAGCGAAGCGACGUCAAAGCGUAUACAAAGUCGAGUCGGUUUAAGGAUACGUUCGUUGGGUAGGGGAGCGUUCUGUAAGCCUGUGAAGGUGUGUCGUGAGGCAUGCUGGAGGUAUCAGAAGUGCGAAUGCU